CCUACGGGAGGCAGCAGUGAGGAAUAUUGGUCAAUGGACGAGAGUCUGAACCAGCCAAGUAGCGUGAAGGAUGACUGCCCUAUGGGUUGUAAACUUCUUUUAUAUGGGAAUAAAAUGUUCCACGUGUGGGAUUUUGUAUGUACCAUAUGAAUAAGGAUCGGCUAACUCCGUGCCAGCAGCCGCGGUAAUACGGAGGAUCCGAGCGUUCUCCGGAUUUGUUGGGUUGAAAGGGAGAGUAGGGGGAUUGUUAAGUCAGUUGUGAAAGUUUGCGGCUCAACCGUAAAAUUGCAGUUGAAACUGGCAGUCUUGAGUACAGUAGAGGUGGGCGGAAUUCGUGGUGUAGCGGUGAAAUGCUUAGAUAUCACGAAGAACGCCGAUUGCGAAGGCAGCUCACUGGACUGCAACUGACACUGAGGCUCGAAAGCGUGGGUUUCAAACAGGAUUAGAUACCCUUGUAGUC
rnacentral:rRNA from 1 species